AUCAAGAAUCGGAGUACUCGAAACUUGAUUUCCAUUACAGUUCCGGUUGGCAUUUCGGGCAAUGAAUAUCUACCGGGUCGUUGCGACGGUUGUCACGGGCUUGAUGGGAGUAUCGGGUUGUGACACAUGGUGACUCAUAUAGGAAUUGUUAAGAUAUCACCACUUAUCAUUCUACAUAAUGUGUUGUGUGUGCCUGAAUUUAUAUUCAAUUUAAUUUCAAUGAGUGGUUUUACAAAGACUAAAACAAAUCAUUUGACAUUUACUGAUAAUGGUUGUGUAAUUCAGGACACAAGUACUUUGAGAAUGAUUGGUCCUGCUAAGAUACAAGCAAGUCUAUAUAUAUUGCAAAUCAAGUUUCCUACAACUCAAGUUAAAAGUUAUGCCCUUGGAGAUUCUGUUUUCAAUUCACCUCCUCAGAAGAUUUCUAAAUAUGUAUCCAAGAAUUUAGUUCCUAAUAUUUUAAUUGUUUUUCAUGUCAAUUGUAAUAGAAUUUCUAGAAAUUUUGAUGUUUGGCAUUUUCGUUUAGGACAUCCUUUUUCUAAAAGAUUAUCUAUUAUUCAACAGUUUUGUUCUUAUGUAA